CCUACGGGUGGCAGCAGUGAGGAAUAUUGGUCAAUGGGCGCGAGCCUGAACCAGCCAAGUAGCGUGAAGGAUGACUGCCCUACGGGUUGUAAACUUCUUUUAUAAAGGAAUAAAGUGAGGCACGCGUGCCUUUCUGUAUGUACUGUAUGAAUAAGGAUCGGCUAACUCCGUGCCAGCAGCCGCGGUAAUACGGAGGAUCCGAGCGUUAUCCGGAUUUAUUGGGUUUAAAGGGUGCGUAGACGGGUUGUUAAGUAAGUUGUGAAAGUUUGCGGCUCAACUGUAAAAUUGCAAUUGAUACUGGCAGUCUUGAGUGCAGUUGCGGUAGGCGGAAUGCGUGGUGUAGCGGUGAAAUGCUUAGAUAUCACAAAGAACUCCGAUUGCGAAGGCAGCUUACUAAGCUGCCACUGACAUUGAUGCUCGAAAGUGUGGGUAUCAAACAGGAUUAGAUACCCGGGUAGUC
rnacentral:rRNA from 1 species